CGGACGGGUGAGUAAUGUAUAGGAACUUGCCUAGUAGUGGGGGAUAACGUGUGGAAACGCACGCUAAUACCGCAUACGCUCUACGGAGGAAAGCGGGGGAUCUUCGGACCUCGUGCUACUAGAUGGGCCUAUAUCAGAUUAGCUAGUUGGUAAGGUAAUGGCUUACCAAGGCGACGAUCUGUAGCUGGUUUGAGAGAACGAUCAGCCACACUGGGACUGAGACACGGCCCAG
rnacentral:rRNA from 1 species